UGAGGAAUAUUGGGCAAUGCCCGCAAGGGUGACCCAGCAACGCCGCGUGGAGGAUGAAUGUCGUAAGAUUGUAAACUCCUGUUAGAGGGGAAGAAUAGUACCGGUUGGACCGGUAUAUGACUGUACCCUCAGAGAAAGCCCCGGCUAACUACGUGCCAGCAGCCGCGGUAAUACGUAGGGGGCAAGCGUUGUCCGGAUUUACUGGGUGUAAAGGGCGCGCAGGCGGGAUAAAAAGUCAGUGGUGGAAUCCUACAGCUUAACUGUAGAACUGCCUUUGAUACUUUUAUUCUUGAGUUCGGGAGAGAGAGACGGAAUUCCAGGUGUAGUGGUGAAAUACGUAGAUAUCUGGAAGAACACCAGUUGCGAAGGCGGUCUCUUGGUCCGACACUGACGCUGAGGCGCGAAAGCGUGGGGAGCAAAC
rnacentral:rRNA from 1 species